UUGGAGGGCAAGUCUGGUGCCAGCAGCCGCGGUAAUUCCAGCUCCAAUAGCGUAUAUUAAAGUUGUUGCAGUUAAAAAGCUCGUAGUUGAAUUUCGGGGUCAGUAGGUUGGUCAUGCCACUGGUAUGUACUGGCCUCACUGAUUCCUCCUUCCUGAUGAGCCGUAAUGCCAUUAAUUUGGUGUUGCGAGGAAUCUGGACUGUUACUUUGAAAAAAUUAGAGUGUUUAAAGCAGGCUAACGCUUGAAUACAUUAGCAUGGAAUAAUGAAAUAGGACGUUCGAUCUUAUUUUGUUGGUUUCUAAGAUUGACGUAAUGAUUAAUAGGGAUAGUUGGGGGCAUUAGUAUUCAAUUGUCAGAGGUGAAAUUCUUGGAUUUAUUGAAGACUAACUACUGCGAAAGCAUUUGCCAAGGAUGUUUUCAUUAAUCAAGAACGAAAGUUAGGGGAUCGAAGACGAUCAGAUACCGUCGUAGUCUUAACCAUAAACUAUGCCGACUAGGGAUCGGAUGAUGUUAAUUUUUUAAUGACUCAUUUGGCACCUUACGGGAAAC
rnacentral:rRNA from 1 species